rnacentral:rRNA from 1 species
AGAUUAAGUUAUUAAGGGCGCACGGUGGAUGCCUUGGCACUAGAAGCCGAUGAAGGACGUUACUAACGACGAUAUGCUUUGGGGAGCUGUAAGUAAGCUUUGAUCCAGAGAUUUCCGAAUGGGGAAACCCAGCAUGAGUUAUGUCAUGUUAUCGAUAUGUGAAUACAUAGCAUAUCAGAAGGCACACCCGGAGAACUGAAACAUCUUAGUACCCGGAGGAAGAGAAAGAAAAUUCGAUUCCCUUAGUAGCGGCGAGCGAAACGGGAAGAGCCCAAACCAACAAGCUUGCUUGUUGGGGUUGUAGGACACUCUAUACGGAGUUACAAAGGACGACAUUAGACGAAUCAUCUGGAAAGAUGAAUCAAAGAAGGUAAUAAUCCUGUAGUCGAAAAUGUUGUCUCUCUUGAGUGGAUCCUGAGUACGACGGAACACGUGAAAUUCCGUCGGAAUCUGGGAGGACCAUCUCCUAAGGCUAAAUACUCUCUAGUGACCGAUAGUGAACCAGUACCGUGAGGGAAAGGUGAAAAGCACCCCGGAAGGGGAGUGAAAUAGAACCUGAAACCGUGUGCUUACAAGUAGUCAGAGCCCGUUAAUGGGUGAUGGCGUGCCUUUUGUAGAAUGAACCGGCGAGUUACGAUUUGAUGCAAGGUUAAGCAGUAAAUGUGGAGCCGUAGCGAAAGCGAGUCUGAAUAGGGCGUUUAGUAUUUGGUCGUAGACCCGAAACCAGGUGAUCUACCCUUGGUCAGGUUGAAGUUCAGGUAACACUGAAUGGAGGACCGAACCGACUUACGUUGAAAAGUGAGCGGAUGAACUGAGGGUAGCGGAGAAAUUCCAAUCGAACCUGGAAAUAGCUGGUUCUCUCCGAAAUAGCUUUAGGGCUAGCCUCAAGUGAUGAUUAUUGGAGGUAGAGCACUGUUUGGACGAGGGGCCCCUCUCGGGUUACCGAAUUCAGACAAACUCCGAAUGCCAAUUAAUUUAACUUGGGAGUCAGAACAUGGGUGAUAAGGUCCGUGUUCGAAAGGGAAACAGCCCAGACCACCAGCUAAGGUCCCAAAAUAUAUGUUAAGUGGAAAAGGAUGUGGCGUUGCCCAGACAACUAGGAUGUUGGCUUAGAAGCAGCCAUCAUUUAAAGAGUGCGUAAUAGCUCACUAGUCGAGUGACACUGCGCCGAAAAUGUACCGGGGCUAAACAUAUUACCGAAGCUGUGGAUUGUCCUUUGGACAAUGGUAGGAGAGCGUUCUAAGGGCGUUGAAGCAUGAUCGUAAGGACAUGUGGAGCGCUUAGAAGUGAGAAUGCCGGUGUGAGUAGCGAAAGACGGGUGAGAAUCCCGUCCACCGAUUGACUAAGGUUUCCAGAGGAAGGCUCGUCCGCUCUGGGUUAGUCGGGUCCUAAGCUGAGGCCGACAGGCGUAGGCGAUGGAUAACAGGUUGAUAUUCCUGUACCACCUAUAAUCGUUUUAAUCGAUGGGGGGACGCAGUAGGAUAGGCGAAGCGUGCGAUUGGAUUGCACGUCUAAGCAGUAAGGCUGAGUAUUAGGCAAAUCCGGUACUCGUUAAGGCUGAGCUGUGAUGGGGAGAAGACAUUGAGUCUUCGAGUCGUUGAUUUCACACUGCCGAGAAAAGCCUCUAGAUAGAAAAUAGGUGCCCGUACCGCAAACCGACACAGGUAGUCAAGAUGAGAAUUCUAAGGUGAGCGAGCGAACUCUCGUUAAGGAACUCGGCAAAAUGACCCC